UCUUUUCCUUUUUUGCCCGCCGCCGCGGUAAUACGUAUGGUGCAAGCGUUAUCCGGAUUUACUGGGUGUAAAGGGAGCGCAGGCGGUGCGGCAAGUCUGAUGUGAAAGCCCGGGGCUCAACCCCGGUACUGCAUUGGAAACUGUCGUACUAGAGUGUCGGAGGGGUAAGCGGAAUUCCUAGUGUAGCGGUGAAAUGCGUAGAUAUUAGGAGGAACACCAGUGGCGAAGGCGGCUUACUGGACGAUAACUGACGCUGAGGCUCGAAAGCGUGGGGAGCAAACAGG
rnacentral:rRNA from 1 species